rnacentral:rRNA from 1 species
AUUGAACGCUGGCGGCAGGCCUAACACAUGCAAGUCGAGCGGAGCGGCAGACGGGUGAGUAAUGACUAGGAAUCUGCCUGGUAGUGGGGGAUAACGACCGGAAACGGGCGCUAAUACAGAAUAUUAGUAGAUGAGCCUAGGUAGUAUUAGCUAGUUGGUCGGGUAGAGGCAUACCAAGGCGACGAACCGUAACUGGUUGGAGAGGAUGAUCAGUCACCCUGGAACUGGGGCACGGUCCAGACUCCGACGGGAGUCAGCAGUGGGGAAUAUUGGACAAUGUGCUAAAGCCUGAUGCAGCCAUGCCACGUGUCUUAAGAAGGUCUUCGGAUUGUAAAGUACUUUCAGUUGGGAGGCGUUACCAGCAGGAUAAGCACCGGCUAACUUCGUGCCAGCAGCCGCGGUAAUUC